UACGGGGGGGGCAAGCGUUGUUCGGAAUUACUGGGCGUAAAGGGCUCGUAGGUGGCCAACUAAGUCGGACGUGAAAUCCCUCGGCUUAACCGGGGAACUGCAUCCGAUACUGGAUGGCUUGAGUUCGGGAGAGGGAUGCGGAAUUCCAGGUGUAGCGGUGAAAUGCGUAGAUAUCUGGAGGAACACCGGUGGCGAAGGCGGCAUCCUGGACCAACACUGACGCUGAUGAGCGAAAGCCAGGGGAGCAAACGGG
rnacentral:rRNA from 1 species